rnacentral:rRNA from 1 species
UGGGGAAUAUUGGACAAUGGGCGAAAGCCUGAUCCAGCCAUGCCGCGUGAGUGACGAAGGCCUUAGGGUUGUAAAACUCUUUCGUCGGGGACGAUAAUGACGGUACCCGAAGAAGAAGCUCCGGCUAACUUCGUGCCAGCAGCCGCGGUAAUACGAAGGGAGCUAGCGUUGUUCGGAAUCACUGGGCGUAAAGCGCACGUAGGCGGAUAGUUAAGUCAGAGGUGAAAUCCUGGGGCUCAACCCCAGAACUGCCUUUGAUACUGGCUGUCUCGAGGUCGAGAGAGGUUGGUGGAAUUCCGAGUGUAGAGGUGAAAUUCGUAGAUAUUCGGAAGAACACCAGUGGCGAAGGCGGCUCACUGGACGUGUAUUGACGCUGAGGUACGAAAGCGUGGGGAGCAAACAGGAUUAGAUACCCACGUAGUCCCUGAGCGGGCUGGCAAGGCGCAU